UACGUAGGGUGCGAGCGUUGUCCGGAAUUAUUGGGCGUAAAGGGCUCGUAGGCGGUCUGUCACGUCGAAAGUGAAAACUCAGGGCUUAACCCUGAGCCUGCUUCCGAUACGGGCAGACUAGAGGUAUGCAGGGGAGAACGGAAUUCCUGGUGUAGCGGUGAAAUGCGCAGAUAUCAGGAGGAACACCGGUGGCGAAGGCGGUUCUCUGGGCAUUACCUGACACUGAGACACGAAGGCCAGGGGAGCAAACGGG
rnacentral:rRNA from 1 species